CAAAGAAAAACACCACUCCCAUCUGGAUUUUAAUGCAGAAAUAACAUAGAGCUGGCUUAGCCUGGACUCUUUUGAUUAAAGUUAAAAUAUCCAAAUACAUAGAAAUUGGGAGUUGCCAAAGUCACCUGGAGGAAAGAGGAAGAAUCUUUCUUUUAAUUUUACUUUGCUUCACAUCUAACAAGGUACCGUGUACAGUUUCUCAAGAAAGGAAGAACACGGAGAUUUUUGUCACUAAACUACUCCUCUGCAUUCUCAGGAGGCAAAAAUACAAUUUACAGGCAAGAGGAUCGCAACUUUUUUUUUCAUUUUAUGACACA